GCUGGAGUGACAGAUUCCUCAAGU
rnacentral:siRNA from 1 species